ACGUAGGGGGCAAGCGUUGUCCGGAAUUAUUGGGUGUAAAGCGCGCGCAGGUGGUUAUAUAAGUCUGAUGUGAAAUUUCGGGGCUCAACCCCGGGAUUGAUUGGAAACUGUAUGACUUGAGUACAGGAGAGGUAAGCGGAAUUCCCAGUGUAGCGGUGAAAUGCGUAGAUAUUGGGAGGAACACCAGUGGCGAAGGCGGCUUACUGGGCUGUAACUGACACUGAGGCGCGAAAGCUAGGGGAGCAAACGG
rnacentral:rRNA from 1 species